rnacentral:lncRNA from 1 species
GGUGGUGGACACGGGGUUUCCGUAGGAGGGCUUGGUGGUGUAACCACGGGAGGUGUUGGUGUAGGUGGUGUAACAAUCGGUGGGGUUGGUGUAGGUGGUGUAACAAUAGGUGGUGAUGGUACAACUGGGGGUAGUGGAACAUAAGGUGGAGGGUAAACAAUUGGUGGUUUCACAAUAGGAGGUGUUGGAACAUAAGGUGGAGGGUAAACAAUUGGUGGUUUCACAAUAGGAGGUUUUGGAACAUAAGGUGGAGGGUAAACAAUGGGUGGUUUUGGCACAUAAGGUGGUGUCACCGGUACAACCGGUGGCUUAGGCACAUAUGGCGGUGUAACUGGUACAACAGGUGGUUUUGGCACAUAAGGUGGAGAAACAACUGGUGGCUUAGGAACAUAAGGUGGUGGUUUCACAACUGGUGGUUUAGGCACAUAAGGAGGUUUCACAAUUGGUGGUUUGGGAACAUGGGGUGGUUUUGGCACAUAAGGUGGUUUCACAAUUGGUGGUUUUGGAACAUGGGGUGGUUUCACAACUGGUGGUUUUGGCACAUGAGGUGGUUUAACCACUGGAGGCUUGGGAUAGUGAGGUGGUUUUGGUGAUGGCUUGGGGGGUGGACAUGGUUCCGGGCCAUGAGAUGGAGGGUACUUUGGGGGGUUAUGAACUG